UACGGGAGGCAGCAGUGGGGAAUAUUGCACAAUGGGCGAAAGCCUGAUGCAGCUAUGCCGCGUGUAUGAAGAAGGCCUUAGGGUUGUAAAGUACUUUCAUCGGGGAGGAAAAACAAAACUAAUAAUUUUAUUUCUUGACGUUACCCGAAAAAGAAGCACCGGCUAACUCCGUGCCAGCAGCCGCGGUAAUACGGAGGGUGCUAGCGUUAAUCAGAAUUACUGGGCGUAAAGAGCACGUAGGUGGUUUUUUUAAGUCAGAUGUGAAAUCCCUGGGCUUAACCUGGAACUGCAUUUUGAAACUGAAAUACUAGAGUAUCGUAGAGGGAGGUAGAAUUCUAGGUGUAGCGGUGAAAUGCGUAGAUAUCUGGAGGAAUACCUGUGGCGAAAGUGGCCUCCUAAACGAAUACUGACACUGAGGUGCGAAAGCGUGGGGAGCAAACAGGGAUUAGAUACC
rnacentral:rRNA from 1 species